rnacentral:misc_RNA from 1 species
CUUUUUGUUAUAUUUGUUAUCACAUGAUUGAUUCAAGAAAACAUUAAAAUUUGGGUUUUUUCUGCUAAAUUAACUUAAUUGGGGAUUUUAAGGCUUACUCCUUUAGUAAAUAAUGACCGACCCAUUAAUUUGGUAACUACGGAAUUUAAAGUUAUACUUAGGGAAAAGUUUGUUAAAUCAUAAAUGUAGGAAGACAUUUAUAUAAAUAUGAGUAGAUCUUGGGGCUUUGAAGAAUAAACCAGCUAUGGAAAUAAACACUGAAAUUAAGAAUGAGCCUCUUGCGAGUGAUCAAGAGUAUCAGCUAUCCGUGUCCCUAGAUCUGGAAGGCCUGAAGAAUGAACCAAAGGCAGAAUCAGCUAAGGAAAUAAAAACUGAAAUUAAGAAUGAAUCUCUUGAGGGUGACCAAGAAUAUGUAGAGUAUCAGCAAUUCACGUCCCUAGAUCUGGAAUAUUUGAAAAAUGAACCAGAGGAACACUUAGAUAUGGAAAUAAAAACUGAAAUUAAGAAUGAAUCCCUUGAGGAUAACCAACAAUAUUAUAUAGAGUAUCAGCCAUCCACGUCCCUAGAUCUGGAAGACUUGAAGAAUGAAUCAGAGACAGACUCAGAUCUUUCCCAGAAGAACCGAGUGGAAAUUAUAAAGUCGUUACCUGCAUUUUCAUUUAAAAAUCAACGAACUAUCGAGGAACCUAAAAGAAGUCCAAACUAUGAAGAAGCAACAUUAAAAUAUUCUGCUUGUUCUGAAGAUUUCUCCCCCAUAAAUAAUUUAAACAAAAAUAUAAUAAUUAACACUGAAGAAGUGCUUUACAAAUGUGAACUUUGUUUUAAGGAAUUUCGUUCCGCAGGCAGCUUGAAAAAGCAUGUGAGAGUGCACACUGGAGAAAAGCCUUACAAGUGUGAAAUUUGUUGUAAGCAGUUUAGCGUAUCAGGAACAUUGAAAGGUCAUUUGAGAAGACACACUGGAGAAAAGCCUUACAAGUGUGAAAUUUGUUUUAACGAAUUUCGUUUCGCAGACAGCUUGAAAAAGCAUUUGAGAGUGCACACUGGAGAAAAGCCUUAUAAGUGUGAAAUUUGUUUUAAAGAAUUUCGUUUAGCAGAUAGUUGGAAAAAGCAUUUGAGAGUUCACGCUGGGGAAAAGCCAUACAAGUGUGAAAUUUGUUUUAAGCAAUUUAUCAUAGCAAACAAUUUGAAAUCGCAUUUGAGAGUGCAUACUGGGGAAAAGCCUUACAAGUGUGAAAUUUGUUUUAAGCAGUUUCGCGUACCAGACAGUUUGAAAAAGCAUUUGAGAGUGCACACUGGGGAAAAACCUUACAAGUGUGAAAUUUGUUUGACGCAAUUUAGUGGAAAAGGAAGUUUGAAAAAUCAUUUGAAAGUGCACACCUAAGAAAAGAAUCGAGUGUGAAAUUUGUUUUAAGCAGUUCAGCGUAGCACAGUUUUAAAAGUCAAAUGAGAGUGCACACUGGGGAAAAGCCUUCAUCAUCAUCAUCAAUUAUGUUACAACUCUUCGUGAGUCUUUGGCGCGUUUAAGGGAAAGUGGGGAAAUGGUGCGCGGCGGGUAAUCGUGCGCUGCAUUAUAUUUCAAAUUCCGUGGAAGAUUUUACGAACUCGACCAGUCUUACACCUUUCAACCGAUCUCAUGAACGGUUUACGCCAUUACCUUCAGUCGCCCAUUGCACGAGGACUAAGUCAGAUCAGAUUAUUGAAAAUUGCAAGAAUUCUUCUAGUCUUUCUGCUCCAAAAAAUAGGACGAUCUUUCCCAGAAGAACCGAGUGGAAACUAUACAUUCGUUAUCUACACUUUCAUUUAAAAAACAAGGAACUAUGGAGGAGCCUAAAAGAAGUCCAAACUAUGAAGAAGCAACACUAAAAUAUUCUGCAUGUUCUGAAGAUUUCUC